UUAAUCAAAGCCAAAGAGAGGCGUGUUUCUGUUAAAAACAUAAUUGAACUGUAGGGUCUGAUUAAU
rnacentral:tRNA from 1 species